UAUUAUUUUUUUAAAGUAUUUUUACAGCCACAAAAUCUUACCAAAUCCAGCCCUAUAAGUCUAUUGUUGCUAUUGCCAGUAUACUUAAACGGGCUCACUAGUUGUUGGAAAGUAAUCCCUACUCGUGCUACAUCAGGAUCCUCACUUUGGGCAAGAGUGCAAAUAAAAACGAGUUCUCAGAUCCUAAGCGUGGUACCAAUUGCUCUCUUUUAGAGAAGACUUGUGAUUUAAUAAAAAUUUCCCAAGUAUUUUGAUGUGGUUGUUAGUGUUGCAUGAGAAAUUGAUGGCCGACAUUGGGCAGAUUUGUUUUCUACUACCGGAAGAUCAAAGGAGUUGUUUGAGGAAUGCUUCCAACAGAGAUGGUACUGGACAACAGCUUGCUAUAUUCUUGUGAUCGCUAAACUUGAGGGUCCUCUUUCCUCUUUCUGCAAGAUGGUUAAUACCGUAACAGUUUUCUUCUAAUGUUGAUCUUUCUCCUUUAUUCUCAGGUGAGGCUUCUGCUCAGAUCUGGAACGGAAUAUGAACCUUCAACGACAGAUUCAGACAAACUAUAGCCUAGAUUCUUGGGAUAGUUUCUUUUCCCUAAUGUAAUGUUCUAGAAAUAAAUUGGUUAUUCUUUAGCUCAUUGUGAUUUAGUUGUAACCAAUUUUUGAUUUUGUUUCGAGGGAGAGUUUGUUAGUUCAGUUAGACGGUUAGGAGUUGAUUCUAGCUAUAGAUAGCUGUGUUACAGAGAGGAAAGGUAUGCAUUUUGUAAUAUGAUAUUUUCUUGGUUUGGAAUAAGAGAGAGAGAGAGAGAGAGAGAGCUCUGUUUAUAUUCCCUUUUUCUUUCUAUUUUCCAUUUUAGCUUUCUUCUUCCAUAGUUGUAAAAUUGGUAUCAGAGCAGGCAUUCUCGUCCUGUGAAAGAAAUCAAGAAAUGGCAGAUGGGACUAGGCAGUAGGAAUAAAAAAUAAUGGAGGAGGCAAUUCGAUCUCUCAAAGAGAAUGGCGAAAAGCAAGCACAGGAUAUUAGGGAUAUCAAGAAAUCAAUGAACGAUAUCAAUGAAAUCAAAGAGAUGAUCACAGCAAUGAGCAUCAAAUACGAUCAGGUGGCAUCUAGGGUUUAUGAGUCUCAUCAAGAGAUCGAGGAAACAUCUCAGGUAUGGGUUCAAAACCCUGAAUCAUUCAAUCAAUUUCAAACUCGUUAUACUAGAAUUGAUUUUCCCAAAUUCUGUGGGAAAGAUCCAUUGGGUUGGAUUUACAAAUGUAAGAGAUUCUUUGAUUAUAAUGCAAUUGAAAAUGGAAAUGGGGUAAAAUUGGCUUCACUGCAUUUGGAAAACAAAGCCCUUCAAUGGUUCCAAUGGUUUGAGAAAUGUCACAAUCAAAUCAAUUGGAACACAUUCAAAGAGGGAGUAGUUUCCAGAUUUGGCCCUAAUUCCUAUGAAGAUGAGAUGGGGGAUUUAACGAAGUUAAGGCAAGUCACAUCUGUUAGGGCUUACCAAAUUUGCCAGAAACCUUCUUCAUUAGUUGCUUCAUUAGUGGCUGAAGGGAUGAUAUCAAGGCUGGGGUAUUGAUGUUUAAACCCACUGGCAUCAACCAGGCUAUUGGAUUGGCCAAGUUACAAGAGAGCAGUAUUGAAACCAUUGCCAAGAGAUCUAGACAAGGGUUUAGGGUGGAAGAAACUCCAUCAUCUAGUUUGUCCAGGCCUAACCAGAUGGUGAGUUCCAUAGCCCCUAAUCGAAGAGAAUUACGCAAGGAGUUGGCAGAAAAGAGAGCAAAAGGCAUGUGUUUCAAAUGUAAUGAAAGGUAUACAAGAGGCCGUAUCUGCAAAAGAAAGCAGCUGUAUGCUAUGGAAGGGGAAAUAGAAGACCAAGACCAAGAAGAAGA